rnacentral:rRNA from 1 species
CAUGCAAGUCGAACGGUUAAAGCACCUCCGGGUGUGCAUAAAGUGGCGAACGGCUGAGUAACACGUGGGCAACCUGCCCCCCGCUCCGGGAUAGCCUCGGGAAACCGAGGGUAAUACCGGAUACUCCGCACCCUCCGCAUGGUGGGGGCGGGAAAGCGUACACGGCGGGGGAUGGGCCCGCGGCCUGUUAGCUCGUUGGCGGGGUAACGGCCCACCAAGGCGAUUAUGGGUAGCCGGGUUGAGAGACCGACCGGCCAGAUUGGGACUGAGACACGGCCCAGACUCCUACGGGAGGCAGCAGUGGGGAAUCUUGCACAAUGGGCGAAAGCCUGAUGCAGCGACGCCGCGUGCGGGACGAAGGCCCUCGGGUUGUAAACCGCUUUCAGCAGGGACGAGGCGCGAGUGACGGUACCUGCANAAGAAGCCCCGGCUAACUACGUGCCAGCAGCCGCGGUAAUACGUAUGGGGCGAGCGUUAUCCGGAUUCAUUGGGCGUAAAGCGCGCG